CCUACGGGAGGCAGCAGUGGGGGAUAUUGCACAAUGGGGGGAACCCUGAUGCAGCGACGCCGCGUGGGUGAAGAAGCGCCUCGGCGCGUAAAGCCCUGUCAGCAGGGAAGAAAAUGACGGUACCUGAAGAAGAAGCCCCGGCUAACUACGUGCCAGCAGCCGCGGUAAUACGUAGGGGGCAAGCGUUAUCCGGAUUUACUGGGUGUAACGGGGGCGCAGACGGCGAUGCAAGCCAGGAGUGAAAGCCCGGGGCCCAACCCCGGGACUGCUCUUGGAACUGGGUGGCUGGAGUGCAGGAGGGGCAGGCGGAAUUCCUGGUGUAGCGGUGAAAUGCGUAGAUAUCAGGAGGAACACCGGUGGCGAAGGCGGCCUGCUGGACUGAAACUGACGUUGAGGCCCGAAAGCGUGGGGAGCAAACAGGAUUAGAUACCCGGGUAGUC
rnacentral:rRNA from 1 species